AGAACGAACGCUGGCGGCAUGCCUAACACAUGCAAGUCGAACGCUCACCGGGCUUCGGUUCGGUGGGAGUGGCGCACGGGUGAGUAGCGCGUGGGAACCUGCCCUGUUGUGGGGGAUAACCGAGGGAAACUUCGGCUAAUACCGCAUGCGCCCGGGGAAACCCGGGGAAAGAUUUAUCGCAGCAGGAGGGGCCCGCGUCGGAUUAGGUAGUUGGUAGGGUAACGGCCUACCAAGCCUUUGAUCCGUAGCUGGUCUGAGAGGAUGAUCAGCCACACUGGGACUGAGACACGGCCCAGACUCCUACGGGAGGCAGCAGUGGGGAAUAUUGGACAAUGGGCGCAAGCCUGAUCCAGCAAUGCCGCGUGAGUGAUGAAGGCCUUAGGGUUGUAAAGCUCUUUCGCCCGCGACGAUGAUGACGGUAGCGGGAGAAGAAGCCCCGGCUAACUUCGCGCCAGCAGCCGAC
rnacentral:rRNA from 1 species